AGGGUUGAGUUUGAUCAGCCUGGAGACAGGAAGGCUCCGUGGAGACCAUAUAGCACCUUCCAGUACCUACAGGGGAAUUAUAAAGCAGUGAGCUUGGCAGAAAAGGCCCUGUGAAGCAAAGCAGCAUGAAAAUCCAGAGCUGCUUGUGGAUGGCAGGUGAAAGCUGGAGCCCUCCCAUGUUGUAAAAAGAGCCUUGGGAUUUGCUUCUGGGAAUGGGGAUCCAUUUCCUGAUGGGAGUCCUUGAAAUAGAAGUGAGUCUCUGUGAGAAAUGAGGAGGCUACAGGAGUGCUGGGGUUGGAGAGUCCACACACUGCUUGUAGGUGUAAACACUGCUCCAGAGAUUUCUGAAGAUUCUGUUUUGGAAAGGUUGGGUGCAUUCAGCUGAAACAUAAGCUGAAGACUGGCUGUGUGAUGAAAGGGAAAGCAAAGCAUGCUGUAUACCUUGACUUCAGCAAGUCCUUUGACACCAGUUCCUGCUGUAUUCUGGCUGCCAAAUUGGUGAGAUCUGGAUUGAAUAAGUAGACAAAUAAGACUGCCUGGGACUAACUCAUAGAUGGCUCUGUUAGAGUCCUCAUCUGCCCUCUGGAAGUGUGAAAUGCCAUUACUGAAGAGUCAGUGGUGUCUAGUGAUGUCAGAAAGCCUGGAGCUGCAUCACCUGAGGGAUCUGAGAGAAUUUAGAUAAUUUAUGAGUUUGAGAAGUGUACUAUUAACAUCUGACUAAAGAUGAUGUUAAAGAUGGUGCACUUCAUCAAGAACAGAAAAAAGCAUCCUUAAUCAUGAUUCAGGUGCAAAGAACCAGGCUGUGGUUUCAGGCUAAUUUAAGCCUACAUAGGUUGAGAUGACUCCACAAACAAAGCUCACCAAAAUAGAUACUGCUUGAUUGAAGUGGCUGUGAAAUUCCACCAGAAUAUCUUCAGUACUUCUUGACAUGAACUGGAGACUGUAGGAUUGUUCCCUUCAAAUCCUGUCAGCCACCUGACACAGCAGCCCAGGUUGCUCUCACCUGGAAGGCAUCCAUCUGCAUCUGGACACAGCUUUGGCCAAGAUGGAUUGCAGUUCUGACUUCAGUGGAAGAUGAGUGUGACAGCGGCAGCGAGGACAAGGCUGUACUGAGCCGUACUCUGGGGGGGAUGUCAAAGAAUCAUACCCCAGAAUCACAGAAUCAUUUAGGCUGGAAAAGAACUCUAUGACCAUGAAGUCAUUAACCCAGCACUACCAAGUCUACCACUGAACCAUGUCCCCAAGAGCAACAUCCACAUGUUUUAAAUACCUCCUGAGUUCAUGAGUCAAUUAGUUCCCUGGGCAGCCUGUUCCUUGACAACCCUUUCUGGGAAGAAAUUUUUCCCAAUGUCCAACCUAAAUCUCCCCUGGCGCAACCUGAGGCCGUUUCCUCUUGUCCUAUCACUUGUUACCUGGGAGAAAAGGCUGACUCCCACCUCGGUACACCUUCCUUUCAGGUAGUCACAAAAAAUGAGAGGGUCCCAUCCAAGCCUCCUUUUUUUGCAGGCUGAGCCCCCCCCAUUUCCCUCAGCCUCUCUUCAUAAGACUUGUGCUCCAGAUGUCCACCACCUGCCCCUUAUGUGGCUGCAGGUUUGUGUUGCAGGGCGGGUCUAUUUGCUGCUGUCUUGGUAGCCUUGGUGGGAGCAGAGAUGCUGCCACCGAGUCUGCAGAUCAGAGGCAGAAUGGCUCAGGCUGUGUCACAUUGAAUUUUGGCUAUAAUAGCAGCUCUUUCAACAUGAAACUGCUAAUACUGACUCUUAAACUCUCGUUACAGGUUUAAUAUACCAAUUAUAACAAUGCUGUUGAGAAGGCAAGACAGUAAGUUUGCACUGGCCUCUUGAUUACAUGGUAUUUGACAAAGUCCUGCAUUUUAAUUUGAUUUCUUCCUUGUUCACCUGCCAUAAGCCCCAGCUGUGCGGAUGCUCCUGCAUAUCUUUGUUAUCGGUGGUGUGUGUCAGGUGUGAAGGGGCUGUGCUGACUCAUCACCUCCACCCGGACAAGAACGGGAGAUCCCAGGAUGGUGUGCAACCUUGCCA